GGAUGUGAGGGCCAUCUGGCUGUGUCAUCGUCACCCCAUUGAUCGUCAGGGUUGAUUCGGCUGACCUGGCUGGCUAGGUGGGUGCCCUUCCCUCACUGCUCCGUGUGCAUCCCUCCCAAAGCUGUGCACUUAGUCAAAGAGGAUGACCUUCCCCGAUACAGAAGGACCAUUCUUCAGUCAAGGGUAUACGAGUAGUUACGCUCCCCUGCUAGAACCUCCUAACCAGCUCUCAUGAGAGGGCAGAAAAUAAUGAAAUAAUACUUUCAACUUCCAUGCGGAUUUCUAGAGCCAU
rfam:Equus caballus chromosome 31, whole genome shotgun sequence.